rnacentral:lncRNA from 1 species
GUUGAGAUUUAUAUUAUUAUAGUGCAAGUGUUAUUCAUUUAGAAAGAUUUAUAUUGUUGCAAUGUUUGAUAAUAUAUAUGAUCGAUUCAGCUCAUGGAGUGCUAAUUUCAGUUAAUGAAAAGUGUUGUAUGGGUUCUAAGCUUGUUAUUAUUUAUUUUGAUAUAUUAUUUAUGUAUAGGAUGCAGAACAAAAAGAGUCCCCAGGCUGCCAUUUCUUCUUUCAAUAGAAGGUCCGGAUCCAUUUUUGGAUUUCAUAAAGAAUUUAUGUUUUUUUAUUUUAAAGAUCAGUGAUCUUUUUAUUUAUUUUUUUAAAAGGGCUGAAAUAUUGUUUCAAUAAAUAAUUAAUUAAUUAAAGAAAGAUGAAGAGGGCCGACGGUGUGUUCUCCUCCUCCCGUCACGGUGGCCUUGCUUUCAAGCAUACGCCGGCGGCCUCAUGGGAUGAGAAUGGCCGGACCUCCGACAUGCCUCCGGCAACCUCCCUACCGCAAGCCACCCGUCGGCCCGGACUUGGUGGGAGGACUGCCGGCUGUGGCCCCUCCGCCUCCGUCUUAUUGUGCAAGCCCAGGGAGACGGCAGCGUCCACCGAUUAGGGUUUUCCGGCGACCACCUGCCGGCACAUGGCGGGGAAGGAGGCAUCCAGCUUCCGCCUCCUCCGCCGCUCGCGAUCGGAAAGAUGGGGAACGAGGAAAAAGCCGUCAGAUCUAGUUCUCCGGCGGUUGUCCUCUUGAUCGCCAACGUAUAUCGGCCAAAGGCCUUGGGAAGAGGGCGACGAACCGCCGAUCGGGCUUCUCCGGCGGCCGUCGACCGGAUUUUUUGGCAGAGGAAUGCUGCCGGAGUUCUUUGCUCCCCACCGAUCUCCCAUCAAGACCGACCUAACGCUGGCAUGCCGGUGGUUGGGAACGGCCGGUGACCCACCGGUGGAGG